rnacentral:piRNA from 1 species
UGCCAGGACACCAGCAGCAUCCAAAAAAA